rnacentral:rRNA from 1 species
CUUCGGAGAUGAGUAGAGUGGCGCACGGGUGAGUAACGCGUGGAUAAUCUACCUAUUGGUACGGGACAACAGUUGGAAACGACUGCUAAUACCGUAUAAGCUGGAAACGGGAAAGGGGGCCUCUUCUUGAAAGCUCUCGCCAGUAGAUGAGUCCGCGUUUCAUUAGCUAGACGGUGGGGUAACGGCCUACCGUGGCAACGAUGAAUAGCAGGCCUGAGAGGGUGGCCUGCCACACUGGGACUGGAACACGGCCCAGACUCCUACGGGAGGCAGCAGUGGGGAAUAUUGCGCAAUGGACGAAAGUCUGACGCAGCGACGCCGCGUGGAGGAUGAAGGUUUUCGGAUCGUAAACUCCUGUCAAGAGGGAAGAAACCUAUUAAGAAUAAUACUCUUAGUAAUUGACGGUACCUCUAGAGGAAGCACCGGCUAAUUCAGUGCCAGCAGCCGCGGUAAUACUGAAGGUGCAAGCGUUAAUCGGAAUCACUGGGCGUAAAGCGCUCGUAGGUGGCUUUGUAAGUCAGAUGUGAAAGCCCACGGCUCAACCGUGGAAUUGCAUUUGAUACUGCAUCGCUAGAGUAU